rnacentral:rRNA from 1 species
CUAGAGAUUUUGGGCCGCACGCGCGCGACACUGAGAGAACCACAGAGCCUUGGCCGGAAGGUCUGGGUAAUCUUGUGAAACUCUGUCGUGCUGGGGAUAGAGCAUUGCAAUUAUUGCUCUUCAACGAGGAAUUCCUAGUAAGCGCGAGUCAUCAGCUCGCGUUGAUUACGUCCCAUGCCCCUUGCAC